rnacentral:rRNA from 1 species
CCUACGGGAGGCAGCAGUGAGGAAUAUUGGUCAAUGGGCGCGAGCCUGAACCAGCCAAGUAGCGUGAAGGAUGACGGCCCUACGGGUUGUAAACCUCUUUUGUCGGGGAGCAAAGCGAGUCACGUGUGACUCAUUGCGAGUACCCGAAGAAUAAGCAUCGGCUAACUCCGUGCCAGCAGCCGCGGUAAUACGGAGGAUGCGAGCGUUAUCCGGAUUUAUUGGGUUUAAAGGGUGCGCAGGCGGUGGUGCAAGUCAGCGGUCAAAUUGCGGGGCUCAACCCCGUACUGCCGUUGAAACUGCAUGCCUUGAGUGCGCGAGAAGUAGGCGGAAUGCGUGGUGUAGCGGUGAAAUGCAUAGAUAUCACGCAGAACUCCGAUUGCGAAGGCAGCAUAC